UGCAAGACCCCUAUUAAAAGUCUCACUUCCGCUGUUCUUCGUGCCUCUAAGCCCAUUCUUUGGGUUUGGAAAGCCUCCUGCAGCCAGAGCAGCCAUUUGAAAAUGCAAAUCUAUUCACACCUGUGUUACAUGACGGAGACUGCUUCAGCCAUUGAGCCAUGUCUGCCUGUAUCCUUCAGCUAGAAAACCCCAGAAAAAAGGCACCAAGUGGAAAUAAGGAGCAAGGAAGGGGACAGCUGUGAACACUGGCCUCCUUAGUCAACCACGGGUGUCAGAGAACUUAAUGGAUGGAGCAGAUUUCAAGGAAAGAAAUCAGGCAGAAUCAAAGGUGGGUGACUUCAGAGAAACCAUAGGAGCCUAGCAGUAGCAGUUGGAUGCGCU
rnacentral:lncRNA from 1 species